rnacentral:rRNA from 1 species
CAGUCGCCGCGGGAAUACGAAGGGUGCGAGCGUUAAUCGGAAUUACUGGGCGUAAAGCGUGCGUAGGCGGUGAGUUAAGUCUGCUGUGAAAUCCCCGGGCUCAACCUGGGAAUGGCAGUGGAUACUGGCUCGCUAGAGUGUGUCAGAGGAUGGUGGAAUUCCCGGUGUAGCGGUGAAAUGCGUAGAGAUCGGGAGGAACAUCAGUGGCGAAGGCGGCCAUCUGGGACAACACUGACGCUGAGGCACGAAAGCGUGGGGAGCAAACAGGAUUAGAUACCCGCGUAGUCCCUGUCUCUUAUAU